GUUUCAUAGUAGGACCUCACAAAGUGUGUUACUCCAGCUUGAUGUCGGUGUUUGAGUGCGGUCACACCGCGGCUUAGAUAGCGCAGGAGUGAACGAGUUGGUGCAGAUAAGGUCGUGGAAGUCAUGUUUUAGAUGGAAGUUUAUAGCAGCAGCAGGUGGGCGCAUGUGGGCACGGCACUCAGACGGUGAGACCCCUUCUGACUGUGAGCCACACUGAUGUCAUUCUGGGCUGGCACUGUGGGAUUCCAGGCUACAGCGGGUCUUUCUCUCGUAUUCAUUACAGGAAUGCUGAAUGGCUGUGUUGCCAUGGCAGCAACGCGUGCGGGUGUUGUACGGAGCGUGCCCAGACAGGCAGCCCGCGCUUGUGACGCUGUGAUGCUGUAAAUGAGAGGAGAGACAGGGUGCGGCAUCUGGAGGUUGACAAGGCAACACAGUUGUGUAAUCACCGGAAAUGUUUUUGUAAGACGUCGGAGUGUAUAUUUGUCUGUGUGUAUGUACAAGGGGGGUUACAUGAGAGGGAGGCAAAAACAUUGGCACAGUUUAGUUCUAUAUCAGACAUAGUAGGGGCCAUGUCAAUAAUGGCGACAACAAUGUUUUGUAUAUCCCUAAGUGGUCACAUUCAUAUUCUUAGAAUUAUUAAUGAUGUAUUGGCAUAAGUGUGUAGCCAUAAGUAUGUGAGCCAUGUAAACCUGUCACCUUGACAUGGUCUCUUCUGAAAGUAUUUCUCGAUUUGUUGCUUUUGACUAUUGACACAAAUAAAAGCUUUUAAAUGUG